CGUCUGAUCAUCUGAAACAACUCUGACUUCUUUUAUUGCACACAUCUGCCCACUCUCACUGUUAAAUCCAAGGUAAACAUGUCCAAAAGUUCCCCUUCCUAGUAGCUUCCCUUUCUUCCAUUUAGACACUGGAGCAGUUGUAUUUUCAGUUACAACAGGAGUUCUUGUACUUGGAAGCAAGGAAGAAGGGCUGCUAGGAGAACCCGGUGGAAGAGGCAGUGGAUGACAUUGGCUCUUCCCAUCUUCCAGCCUUCCUGUUGCAGACUCUAGAUUCAUACCUCCUAAGAGUGGAUGAAGAGGUGAUGCAGACCUGCUGGCCCCUCUUGAUGCAGGACCAGGACUUCUAGAUCCAGGACCGGGACUUCUCGACCCAGGUCCUGGACUUCUUGAACCUGGACCUGGGCUUCUUGACCCCAAAUUGAACCUUAUAUCACCAUGUCCUCUAUGAUCAACAGAUGACCUGUAGCCACCAAAAAGACUACUGUGAUGAUCAUUCGCAAUUGGAUGAUCCUCACCAGAUGACCCAGAAGAGCUCACACUGGACAUGGAACCAGAAGCCGACCCAGAUCCCAACCCAACCCCACCACCAAUCCCAUGAUCACUCCCAGACCC
rnacentral:misc_RNA from 1 species